GACGAACGCUGGCGGCGUGCCUAAUACAUGCAAGUCGAGCGAACAGAUGAGGAGUUUGCUCCUCUGACGUUAGCGGCGGACGGGUGAGUUACACUUGGAUAACCUACCUAUAAGACUGGGAUAACUUCGUGACACCGGAGCUAAUACCGUAUAAUAUAUUGAACCGCAUGGUUCAAUAGUGAAAGACGGUUUUGCUGUCUCUUAUAGAUGUAUCCGGGCCGCAUUAGCUAGUUGGUAAGGUAACGGCUUACCAAGGCAACGAGGCGUAGCCGACCUGAGAGGCUGAUAGGCCACACUGGAACUGAGACACGGACCAGACUCCUACGGGAGGCAGCGGUAGAGAAUCUGCCGCAAUGGGCGAAAGCCUGACGGAGCAACGCCGCGUGAGUGAUGAAGGUCUUCGGAUCGUAGAGCUGUGAUAUUCGGGAAGAACAAAUGUGUAAGUAGCUAUGCACGUCUUGACGGUACCGAGUCAGAAAGCCCCGGCUAACUACGUG
rnacentral:rRNA from 1 species